GAUGAACGCUGGCGGCGUGCCUAAUACAUGCAAGUCGAGCGAACAGAUGAGGAGCUUGCUCCUCUGACGUUAGCGGCGGACGGGUGAGUAACACGUGGAUAACCUACCUAUAAGACUGGGAUAACUUCGGGAAACCGGAGCUAAUACCGGAUAAUAUAUUGAACCGCAUGGUUCAAUAGUGAAAGACGGUUUUGCUGUCACUUAUAGAUGGAUCCGCGCCGCAUUAGCUAGUUGGUAAGGUAACGGCUUACCAAGGCAACGAUGCGUAGCCGACCUGAGAGGGUGAUCGGCCACACUGGAACUGAGACACGGUCCAGACUCCUACGGGAGGCAGCAGUAGGGAAUCUUCCGCAAAGGGCGAAAGCCUGACGGAGCAACGCCGCGUGAGUGAUGAAGGUCUUCGGAUCGUAAAACUCUGUUAUUAGGGAAGAACAAAUGUGUAAGUAACUAUGCACGUCUUGACGGUACCUAAUCAGAAGGCCACGGCUAACUACGUG
rnacentral:rRNA from 1 species